GCAGUGGUGGGUUGGUGGUAAAAUUCUUGCCUCCCAUACUAAAGACCCAGGUUUGAUUCCUGGCCAAUGUA
rnacentral:tRNA from 1 species